UACGGAGGGUGCAAACGUUGCUCGGAAUUACUGGGCGUAAAGCGCGUGUAGGCGGACUGGAAAGUCGGGCGUGAAAUCCCCAGGCUCAACCUGGGAACUGCACUCGAAACUUCCAGCCUAGAGUGGUGGAGAGGGAAGUGGAAUUCCUGGUGUAGAGGUGAAAUUCGUAGAUAUUCGCAAGAACACCAGUGGCGAAGGCGGCUCACUGGCCCGGUACUGACGCUGAGGUGCGAAAGCGUGGGGAGCAAACAGG
rnacentral:rRNA from 1 species